AUGUUGGCGUCCUCUCAUUUCGACCAAUCAGACACGUCGUUGUGUGAGCCAGUGCGUCGAUUUUUGACGCAGUACAGCAUUCCUCUUCGAAGCUUCGUUCGUCUUGCACGUGUCUGCAACAGACCUGUUCGUGUACUUCGUUAGGUAUCGGCCGUUAGCAGAAUAUACCGAACAUUGCCGAGUGUUGCCGAAGUGCCGACCGCUCUUCGUCGGGAAGGAAGGUCUCGCCAUUGCUCUCUCGAGCGUCGAACUGACAGGACGUGUUGAGAGCAUCCUUCCGCAUAAAUAAUAGAUAUUUGAUAGAUUUUGAAAGGACGCCAUGGCACCUGAUAUGGGUUUGCAAUAUAAUUUCAUAAGAAUUUACUGUUUUAAUUUAUUCUAAUCAAUUAUUAACGUUUAUUAUUACUUUUUUUUCAUUGAGUCGUUGUUUUUUGAU